GUGUCAGCAGCCGCGGUAAUACGUAGGGUGCAAGCGUUGUCCGGAAUUAUUGGGCGUAAAGAGCUCGUAGGCGGCCUGUCACGUCGGCUGUGAAAACCCGAGGCUCAACCUCGGGCCUGCAGUCGAUACGGGCAGGCUAGAGUCCGGUAGGGGAGACUGGAAUUCCUGGUGUAGCGGUGAAAUGCGCAGAUAUCAGGAGGAACACCGGUGGCGAAGGCGGGUCUCUGGGCCGGAACUGACGCUGAGGAGCGAAAGCGUGGGGAGCGAACAGGAUUAGAAACCCUGGUAGUCC
rnacentral:rRNA from 1 species